GUAUUGGUGGUUCAGUGGCAGAAUGCUUGCUUUUGAUGUGGGAGGCCUGGAUCUGAUUCCCAGUCAAUGCA
rnacentral:tRNA from 1 species